UUUCCGUAGGUGAACCUGCGGAAGGAUCAUUAAGAAAUGUGGUACCGAUUGUUGGUACUGAAUUAAUCAUCCUACCCUUUGUGAAUUUGUUUGUAAUGAAUUUUUUUAAAUGGGUCUUUCCUAAGUUGGAUUGUAGUAAAAUACAAAAAAGACUUAGGGGAAUGACUUUUUUAAAAGACUUUUUUUUAAUUAAAACUUUUUGUAUUCAUUUGUCUAAAAUUUAUUUUUAUAAUAUAAAAACAACUUUUGACAAUGGAUCUCUUGGUUCUCGCAACGAUGAAGAACGCAGCAAAAUGCGAUAAGUAGUGUGAAUUGCAGAAUACGUGAAUCAUCGAAUCUUCGAACGCAUAUUGCACUUUUUUAGCUUACUAAAAAGUAUGUCUGUUUGAGUAUCAGUAAAAUAUUCUCACAAACAUAUAUUGUUUGUGGUUAUGAGUGUUUUACAACGAUAAACAAGUUGUUUCACUUUAAAUUCUUUUUAAUGAUUUUAUACCAAUUCAUAAAUUAAAAUUGGAUAAAAUUUUCCUUUAACGAGGAAUAACCUAAACAAUUUUAAAUUUUAUGGAUUAAUAACAUUCAUCAAAGGAAUCUAUAUACAUAAAUAACUUGAUCUCAAAUCAGAUAAGAGUACCCGCUGAGCUUAAGCAUAUCAAUAAGCGGAGGAAAAGAAACUAACAAGGAUUCCCUUAGUAACGGCGAGUGAAGCGGGAAGAGCUCAAAUUUGAAAUCUUCAAGGUUUGACCUUGACGAAUUGUAGUUUAUAGAAGUGUUUUCUGUUGGAGUUUGGUAAAAGUUCUUUGGAAUAGGACAUCAUAGAGGGUGAGAAUCCCGUAUUUGACCAUGACUUUCCAGCUGUGUGAUACACUUUCAAAGAGUCGGAUUGUUUGGGAAUGCAGUCCAAAAUGGGUGGUAAAUUUCAUCUAAAGCUAAAUAUUGGCGAGAGACCGAUAGCGAACAAGUACCGUGAGGGAAAGAUGAGAAGAACUUUGAAAAGAGAGUUAAACAGUACGUGAAAUUGUCAAAAGGGAAGCGUUUGACACCAGUGUUGUUUUCUCGAAAUCAAUUUAAUGAGUUCUUGUCUUUAAGUUAUUGUGACUUUAUCAGCGCAUUUCUUAUUUUACUUGACUCAUUGAAUGCACUUUUCGUUUAACAAGUCAACAUCAAUUUCUUUGGUGGUAAAAAGUUUAAAGGAAGGUGGCUUGGACUUCGGUUCAAGUGUUUAUAGCCUUUUUUCUAUGCCAUCGGAGAGAUUGAGGUCUGCAGCGUAGAUCCUUCGGGGUUAGAUACCUUUGUGCUAAGUUAUAGUUUUUUAUAGACAACUUGUUGACUAUAAUUAACCCUGUAAUUUACUCGCUUAGGCUAUUU
rnacentral:misc_RNA from 1 species